rnacentral:rRNA from 1 species
GACGAACGCUGGCGGCGUGCCUAAUACAUGCAAGUAGAACGCUGAAGAGAGGAGCUUGCUCUUCUUGGAUGAGUUGCGAACGGGUGAGUAACGCGUAGGUAACCUGCCUGGUAGCGGGGGAUAACUAUUGGAAACGAUAGCUAAUACCGCAUGAAAUUAAUUGUCGCAUGAUAAUUAAUUGAAAGAUGCAAUUGCAUCACUACCAGAUGGACCUGCGUUGUAUUAGCUAGUUGGUGAGGUAACGGCUCACCAAGGCGACGAUACAUAGCCGACCUGAGAGGGUGAUCGGCCACACAGGGACUGAGACACGGCCCAGACUCCUACGGGAGGCAGCAGUAGGGAAUCUUCGGCAAUGGGGGGAACCCUGACCGAGCAACGCCGCGUGAGUGAAGAAGGUUUUCGGAUCGUAAAGCUCUGUUGUAAGAGAAGAACGGGUGUGAGAGUGGAAAGUUCACACUGUGACGGUAUCUUACCAGAAAAGGACGGCUAC